CUCUUCCAUCGGCCAAUGAACGCACGCGGUGCCUAUUCGCCAUGCAAAUCUCCUGGUUUUUUAUUUGAAUGAGGGACUUUGGCCACGCCUCCUGCCUUGAAAAUGAGAACCGAGUGCGCGGUGGUGGCGCUGCCGGCUUUUCUAUCGCUCCCGGAGGUAAUUUUUUUUCGGUUGGCUCCCCCACACACACAAUCACCUCCGAGGCAUCUUUUUUGCGUGGAGAUUCCUCAGUGAGCACCCUCCGUGAAACUUGAGAGAGGAAGUAGGUACGGAUCCAGGCUCCCACUUUGCAGCAAACUUACAGAUCCAUCCACCAUAACUUAAGUGAAUAAAUUUGGAGCGGGUGCCAGGAGAGGCUGGAGGUUUUCUAUGGAGGACUUCUUUCCUAUAGGUGAGGAAAAGAAGAAGGUCUAAGGCCUGAAGUCCAAGGCAUCCCCAGGACUCAGGGGGACAGAAAGAGGAAGACACAAGCUGGUCAGUGGAUCCUCAGAGCACUGGCCAGGGGUCAGGGCUGAAACCCUGAGGAGACAUAAUGCCUAGUACCAGGACUGUCGGAUGAAGCCAGAAGAUGAAAUCGAGCUAAAAAAUGAAGCCUUACUGAAGGGAAAGGGUCAGAGGUGGGCACCUCUGUCUCCAAGAGUACCAGAGACUCAGGGAAGCACUUACACCAAUUGAGAGGGACCACUCACCAAUUGCCUGUGAUAGACAGAAGGCCAAGCGAUUGGUGGGCCAGAAGACACAUCUACUCACUCUCCUCCGCCAGCAUGGCUGCUGUGGGCGGUGGCCAACCACAAGCAGCGCGCUGUUUAACCAACAUUGGUGCCGUUCAGACUCGGAUACACCACCUAUCACCAAGGACCUGCUGUGACUGCUGCCGCCUGCCAUCCA